UACGGAGGAUGCGAGCGUUAUCCGGAUUUAUUGGGUUUAAAGGGUGCGUAGGCGGUUCGUUAAGUCAGCGGUAAAAUUGCGGGGCUCAACCCCGUCGAGCCGUUGAAACUGGCAGACUUGAGUUGGCGAGAAGUACGCGGAAUGCGCGGUGUAGCGGUGAAAUGCAUAGAUAUCGCGCAGAACUCCGAUUGCGAAGGCAGCGUACCGACGCCAGACUGACGCUGAGGCACGAAAGCGUGGGGAUCGAACAGG
rnacentral:rRNA from 1 species